CCUACGGUGGGCAGCAGUGGGGAAUAUUGGACAAUGGGCGAAAGCCUGAUCCAGCCAUGCCGCGUGUGUGAAGAAGGCCUUCGGGUUGUAAAGCACUUUCAGUGGGGAAGAAAGCCUUGGGGCUAAUACCCUCGAGGAAGGACAUCACCCACAGAAGAAGCACCGGCUAACUCCGUGCCAGCAGGCGCGGUAAUACGGAGGGUGCGAGCGUUAAUCGGAAUUACUGGGCGUAAAGCGCGCGUAGGCGGUCUGAUAAGCCGGUUGUGAAAGCCCCGGGCUCAACCUGGGAACGGCAUCCGGAACUGUCAGGCUAGAGUGCAGGAGAGGAAGGUAGAAUUCCCGGUGUAGCGGUGACAUGCGUAGCGAUCGGGAGGAAUACCAGUGGCGAAGGCGGCCUUCUGGACUGACACUGACGCUGAGGUGCGAAAGCGUGGGUAGCAAACAGGAUUAGAUACCCCUGUAGUC
rnacentral:rRNA from 1 species